GCACCCACCCACACGGACAUAUAUCUGAUUAACCAGAUUAUUUUGAG
rnacentral:tRNA from 1 species